CCUACGGGGGGCUGCAGUGAGGAAUAUUGGUCAAUGGCCGCAGGGCUGAACCAGCCAAGUCGCGUGAGGGAUGACGGUUCUAUGGAUUGUAAACCUCUUUUGUCAGGGAGCAAAGGGCGCCACGUGUGGCGUUUUGCGAGUACCUGAACAAAAAGCAUUGGCUAACUCCGUGCCAGCAGCCGCGGUAAUACGGAGGAUGAGAGCGUUAUCCGGAUUUAUUGGGGUAAAGGGGUGGGCAGGCGGAAAGUCAAGUCAGCGGUAAAAUUUCGGGGCUAAACCCCGUCAUGCCGUUGAAACUGGGGUUCUUGAGUGAGGGAGAGGUAGGCGGAAUUCGUGGUGUAGCGGUGAAAUGCGUAGAUAUAAGGAGGAACACCAGUGGCGAAGGCGGCUUACUGGACCGCAACUGACGCUGAGGCACGAAGGCGUGGGGAGCAAACAGGAUUAGAUACCCAUGUAGUC
rnacentral:rRNA from 1 species